AGGAAGAAGGAACCGCUACUGGAAGUAAAAGAAGAAUGGAUGGCCCAGCAGGAAAUACCAAAAAAGAGAUGCCCAAAAGAGCGCGAAACCCACCGAAGAAGAUGUGUUUUUAUGAACCAGACCCCGGCUCACCCAAACAGGACUCAGAUGGACUUUUUGUAUUUUUGACCUUUGAAGAUGGAUACACGGCAAAGCUUUUUAAUGUAUGUGAUAUACAAAGCAAAGAUGAAAAACCCAUCGCCUGCCUUAGAGAUCUGAAGCCAGGGGAAGAAGUACUUGCAAGAUGGUCCGACAGCAAGUUCUACA